rnacentral:rRNA from 1 species
GACGAACGCUGGCGGCGUGCUUAACACAUGCAAGUCGAACGGGGUGCCUAUGAAGGAGAUUUCGGUCAACGGAUUAGGUUACUUAGUGGCGGACGGGUGAGUAACGCGUGAGGAACCUGCCUUUCAGAGGGGGACAACAGCUGGAAACGGCUGCUAAUACCGCAUAACAUAUAGCUGUCGCAUGGCAGCUAUAUCAAAGAUUUAUCGCUGAAAGAUGGCCUCGCGUCUGAUUAGCUAGUUGGUGAGGUAACGGCCCACCAAGGCGACGAUCAGUAGCCGGACUGAGAGGUUGGCCGGCCACAUUGGGACUGAGAUACGGCCCAG